UGCAUUCACUAUUGUAAGUCGCUCUGGAUAAAAGCGUCUGCUAAAUGACUAAAA
rfam:Salmo salar isolate Sally breed double haploid chromosome ssa24, whole genome shotgun sequence.